AAUGGUAAAUGGAGCAUUUUUUGUGCCAUCAGGUGAAGGACUCAGUAACCAAUACGCGAAAGCCUCGAGCGUGGAGCCCAAAUCCGCUGCUAUUAUUGAUCAACUCACUCUUAAUGCUGGUGUUUUUGGUGCCACAAGGGAUAAAAGUAUAAGUAUAUCCUAUGGAGGAGGGACCACCACCGGAGCUAGCGGGAGUGGCGGUGGAGGGUCCACCGGCGCCGGCGAUGAUAGUGAUUUUUUUGGAAUGAUGUUUGGGAGCGGCGCACCACAAAAAUUAUCAUCAACCACUCAUUAUACUAUCUUAUUAUCUCUUUUAAUUAUGUUAUUUUUGUACA
rnacentral:misc_RNA from 1 species